rnacentral:tRNA from 4 species
AGCCUUGGGGUGUUACACGUUAGAUUGCAAAUCUAAAGAAGCAGAGUAACGUCUGCCGGGGCUU